UACGUAGGGGACAAGCGUUAUCCGGAUUUACUGGGUGUAAAGGGAGCGCAGACGGAACUGCAAGUCUGAUGUGAAAGCCCGGGGCUCAACCGCGGGACUGCAUUGGAAACUGUAGAUCUGGAGUGCCGGAGGGGCAAGAGGAAUUCCUGGUGUAGCGGUGAAAUGCGUAGAUAUCAGGAGGAACACCGGCGGCGAAGGCGGCUUGCUGGACGGCAACUGACGUUGAGGCUCGAAAGCGUGGGGAGCAAACAGGAUUAGAUACCCCCGUAGUCCCU
rnacentral:rRNA from 1 species